rnacentral:rRNA from 1 species
CCUACGGGUGGCAGCAGUAGGGAAUAUUGCUCAAUGGGGGAAACCCUGAAGCAGCAACGCCGCGUGGGGGAUGAAGGUUUUCGGAAUGUAAACUCCUUUUGUUAGAGAAGAUAAUGACGGUAUCUAACGAAUCAGCCCCGGCUAACUCCGUGCCAGCAGCCGCGGUCAUACGGAGGGUGCAAGCGUUACUCGGAAUCACUGGGCGUAAAGGGCGCGUAGGCGGGAGAGCAAGUCAGAUGUGAAAUCCUAUGGCUUAACCAUAGAACUGCAUUUGAAACUGUUAUUCUAGAGUAUGGGAGAGGUAGGUGGAAUUCUUGGUGUAGGGGUAAAAUCCGUAGAGAUCAAGAGGAAUACUCAUUGCGAAGGCGACCGGCUAGAACAUAACUGACGCUGAUGCGCGAAAGCGUGGGGAGCAAACAGGAUUAGAUACCCUUGUAGUC